AUUGAACGCUGGCGGAAUGCUUUACACAUGCAAGUCGAGCGGCAGCGCGGGGGCAACCCUGGCGGCGAGCGGCGAACGGGUGAGUAACACAUCGGAACGUACCCAGCUGUGGGGGAUAGCCCGGCGAAAGCCAGAUUAAUACCGCAUACGACCUGAGGGUGAAAGGGGGGGAUCGCAAGGCCUCUCGCAGUUGGAGCGGCCGACGGUGGAUUAGCUAGUUGGUGAGGUAAAGGCUCACCAAGGCGACGAUCCGUAGCUGGUCUGAGAGGACGACCAGCCACACUGGAACUGAGACACGGUCCAGACUCCUACGGGAGGCAGCAGUGGGGAAUUUUGGACAAUGGGGGCAACCCUGAUCCAGCCAUUCCGCGUGAGUGAAGAAGGCCUUCGGGUUGUAAAGCUCUUUCGGCAGGAACGAAACGGUGGAGGCUAAUACCUUUCAUCAAUGACGGUACCUGAAGAAGAAGCACCGGCUAACUACGUGCCAGCAGCCGCCGUAA
rnacentral:rRNA from 1 species